rnacentral:rRNA from 1 species
GACGAACGCUGGCGGCGUGCCUAAUACAUGCAAGUCGAACGCAGUGGGGACGGGCGAGUAACACGUGGGUAACCUCCCAUCAGAGGGGAUAACACUUGGAAACAGGUGCUAAACCGAUACUGAUGGAUGGACCCGCGGUGCAUUAGCUAGUUGGUGCGGUAACGGCUCACCAAGGCCACGAUGCAUAGCCGACCUGGUAGGGUGAUCGGCAACACUGGGACUGGGACACGGCCCAGAUUCCUACGGGAGGCAGCAGUAGGGAAUCUUCGGCAAUGGACGAAAAUCUGACCGAGCAGCGCCGCGUGGGUGAAGAGGGUUUGCGGAUCGUAAAACUCUGUUGUAAGAGAAGCGGUAUCUAACCAGAAAGCCACGGCUAGCUGCGUGCCAGCAGCCGCGGUAAUUC